UCACCUCUCUCCUUUUCUCACUCUAAUUGAUCCGCUCUUCCACCUUCGUUUGUUAUCUCCUCUUUCUCUCUUUGUUUUACACUUUCAUUCUCCAUUGAAGCUUUUCAAGGAAGAACUUGCCCACCAAAGUCGCACGAAAGUCUACUCCAGCCACGAGCAGAGUAAAGAAGGAAGCCCCAUUGUUUCAGACCUAGAAUUGUCACAAUUCGUGAGAUCGAAAGUAAUAGAGCUUUGCUUUUAGAAUCCGUCGUCGUCACCCUCCAGAUCAGGGAGGCCGCUGAAGCUUACUGGUUUGCCUUUUCAAACAUACCAACCUUUGCGUAAUUUGUGGUGGGAGGGCUUAAUUUGGGGGUUUUAAUUGAAUCUUAAUGUCUAGGGUUUAGGUUUUUUUUUUCAAGAAAUUAUAGUUUUUGUUUGCUUGCAUAUAAUUUAAUCGUGUUUGUUUAUGCUUGUUAUGUUUAAUUGUUGAUUGUUAAAAAAAAAUUGGGUUUGAUCGUCCAUUUUUUUGGAAUUUUGUUUCACUAUUGAGGUAAUUGGACGACAAAUUGAUUGUCUCUUUGGAAAUUAAGUAAUCGAUGCAGAAUAGAUAUUAAAUGUUGAUUAAUUGCUUUGAUAGUCUUGUUGUUCAAGCACAACAAUUCGAAAUCUAACCCCUUUUUUCUCUAUUGUUUUUUGCUAAGUGUUGACUUAAUUAAGAUUAUCUUUGUCUGGGUUUAUCAUUCCAUUUGAAUGAUGAAUUGGGUGUAAUUUUUUUUUUUUAAAGGGAAUUGGGUGUAUUUUAAAUGUUGAUUAAUUGGCUAUGGUAGAUUAUUGUUGUUGCUGAGUUUGUAUUGUUCCAUUUGAAUGAUAUAUUGGGUGUAUUUUAAAUGUUGAUUAAUUGGCUAUUGGUAGAUUAUUGUUGUUGUUGAGUUUGUAUCACUGAUGCCUCUAAUGUUAUCUUCCAAUCCCUUGUUUUUUCUUCAGAAAGAUCGACUCGUAGUCUGGGAUUACUAUAAUGUAUACAAGAAAAGAGUUUAUACAAAUAUUCACUCUUGCUUGCUCAACACUAUGAGGUUAAUUUUAAUGUAUUAGCUGCCUCAGUGUAGACACUUCCUCUGGUACAAUGGCCUUCGAUAAUAUGAGGUCCAAGAAGUUGGCAGAUGUUGUAUGUCUUAGAUAUUAACUUAGAGAAGAAACAAGGAGAGAUAAUUACUAGAGGUCAUAAAAACUUUGAGCUUAUGCUCAAUCUACAAUUAGGAACCAGUUUUUUAAAGCGGACCCCUGUACAUAUUCAACUGAAAAUAUUAACGAAAUUAGAGACUUGUGGGCUAAGUAUGUUCUAGAGCUUGAACCAGAUGAUGUUAAUGAAGGAAAUGAAGAUGGUAUAGACAUUGCGUGAGUUUAGUUUGUCCAUUACUUUUGGGAAAAGUAUUACGAUUUUUAGAAUUUUUUGUAUAGUACUUUUGGAGCUUAUCUUAGAUGGCAUGGAAAUUAAAUGAGUGGUUUAUAUUUUUGGGGAAUACUAGAUUUUUUUUUGCAGAUGUUGCUGUAUAGUAUUUUUGGAGGUUAUAUUAUAAUUAAUGGAUAUUUGUAAAAGUGUUUAUCAACUUUUGUUUAUUAUUGUA